CUGCCCAUAGCUCAGUUGGAUAGAGCAUCAGCCUUCUAAGCUGAGGGUCGCAGGUUCGAACCCUGCUGGGCAGGCCA
rnacentral:tRNA from 2 species